rnacentral:rRNA from 1 species
GCUACCAUGCAGUCGAGCGGAACGACUUAUCUGAACCUUCGGGGAACGUUAAGGGCGUCGAGCGGCGGACGGGUGAGUAAUGCCUAGGAAAUUGCCCUGAUGUGGGGGAUAACCAUUGGAAACGAUGGCUAAUACCGCAUGAUGCCUACGGGCCAAAGAGGGGGACCUUCGGGCCUCUCGCGUCAGGAUAUGCCUAGGUGGGAUUAGCUAGUUGGUGAGGUAAUGGCUCACCAAGGCGACGAUCCCUAGCUGGUCUGAGAGGAUGAUCAGCCACACUGGAACUGAGACACGGUCCAGACUCCUACGGGAGGCAGCAGUGGGGAAUAUUGCACAAUGGGCGCAAGCCUGAUGCAGCCAUGCCGCGUGUGUGAAGAAGGCCUUCGGGUUGUAAAGCACUUUCAGUCGUGAGGAAGGUAGUGUAGUUAAUAGCUGCAUUAUUUGACGUUAGCGACAGAAGAAGCACCGGCUAACUCCGUGCCAGCAGCCGCGGUUAUNCAGAGGGUGCGAGCGUUAAUCGGAAUUACUG